AGCUAGCUAAAAUUGAGGAGUACGGGCGUUCGUGAAGUUGCCGAAGUAAGUGAUUGAAAAAAAUCGAGCAAAAAAAAGAAAGAAAAAAAUUGAAAAAAAAUAAAAAUUGAAAAAAAAGAGGAUUUCGUGAAUUUUGAAGAUAUUUUGGUAUUAUUCAAUUGUAUUUGAAGUGAAAAAAAAAUCGAAGUAUAAAAAAAAGAAGAAGAAGUGAAAAGUUUUGCGAGUUUUAUUUUGUUAUCAAUUCUUGUUACUUCCAAACAUCCAUUCAUUCUACCAUUCCUUCUACCCCC
rnacentral:lncRNA from 1 species